rnacentral:lncRNA from 1 species
UGCAGUCAACUUGCGAUGGCAGGCAGUAGCUUGGAGCUCAUUCAUCAGGCAUCAAAAUAAUUUUAGUCUCCCCCAAUCAAUUAGGACUUAAGUUCCUCCUCCAGUGCAGUACGGAACUUCAUGUAGGUAUAUCAUACUGAAACAACAAUUCAACAACAGAACUUCAAUAAUUUAUGCUAGUUUAAACCAUAAUUACCGACAUAAAGAACACGCAACUGCAGGUAACAGGUUGCUGACAUUUGUCUUUCUUUUAAAGAAAACGCGCAUGAUGAAUUCUGUUUAGUUCAAUGGAGUGCAAGAAUCUAGUUGUCAAGAAGCACAAUAAUCUAAUGGAUUGACAACAAACGAUGAGCAUCUUUUGGACGUCAUACAACAAUAAUGUUACUAAACAAAAGUGGAUCACCAAUGGUAGAAAUUCAUGCAUAAGACUAUUAGUUAGUUCUUACUUCUUACAUCAAACGCAAAUCGUCAAACUUCACUACGUCCAUACCAGCCAAAUAAAGAUCCGGUUCAAAUUUAAGCUUGUCAAGAAAGUAGAGCGUUACACCAAUUACCAGAAAGACUACCUUAGUAGCUUAAGGUCACUUUGGUGAUCUCUGUUGCUCUGAAGGGAAAAAGAAAGGCAUUCAGCAUGAUAAUAGUAUAUAUGUACAUUGCUUUGAGGGAAAAACAGAGAGAUAAUUGCAGACUAAUUUUACAACUGGGCUAACAAAUGCAUGGAAUGCAUAUAUGCAGAUAGGGACCCUGGACUAGAACAAAUACUCGCUGGUAUUGCCACCAGAGAAUGCGUAUACAUUAUACUUCAUCUACAAUUUGCAAAAACCAUAGGAGGUUUUGUUGUCUGGCAUGAUGAUUCUGUGUCAGAGACAAACUUAAUCAUGUGAUGACUCCAACAAGAGAUAAUGACACAAGCAUAAGCUGACUAAAACGACAAGAGUGAUUCAAAGCAGCCAACAAACCUAUAAAUCUUUCACCUUUUUAAAUUUUUCUCCUAGGGUAAGGAUGCAUUUUGUUUUUUCAGUAAAAAAUUGUGGCAGAUCAAUUCAACAACAACAACAUUUCUAUCACGAGUCGAUAUAUGCAUGCAGUAUGCAUUUGCAGACAUGCUUGCAUGUAUGCACAGCCAAGGACCUAAAAUUGCUAGAUGCUUGUGUUUUGAGAAUCUGUAAAUUUCACAUGUUUGAAUGAAGUGUAUGACAUCUGGCAUGAUGUUUCCUUGAUCUUGACAGUCUUGAUUCAGGUGAAAAUUAAGGAGGUAAAGAAACUCAAAUAUAAGAAACAACUGCAAAUGGAUAUUACAAGUGCUAAUGAAGUAUGCUAUUAUGUAAGCACUGGCCCGAUGUUUUCAAUCCCAAAGCUCACAAUAAUACAAAAGGCUAUUCUGCUCCCAGAAAUAAAAUACCUUGUGCAUAAGAAGAAAGAUUCCAUCAAUAUUGCACAGAGAUACAAAGCUUUCAGCUGAAAUGUCAACAAUACCAACAACUGGGGAUUAAAAUAUGCAUUUACCAGUAAGCCUCAUAUGUGCACUGCCUAUAAAGCUAAGGCAGGUGAAAGAUGGCAUAAACAUACAACAAAGGCAAAGUAUCAGAUAUGGCUGAUCCAUCAUGUGAUGAUAGUGGCAAAGGAGUGAAAGUUAUGAAAUCAGAAGAUGCUUUGGAAGGACGAAAAUUAUCAUGGGGAAAGCUUCGUCGCAUUGACUCACUGAAUUUGGAGGCAGGGAGAGUCUCAAACAUUCAAACCCAUGGUGCUCAGGUAUGAACUUUCUAUUGUGUCCAACUUUCAUAUAAUAUCCUCAUGAGAUAAAGCAUAAUUCUUUGCAUAUUGAUCAUAUAUGCAACUGGAGCAUGAGUAAAAGCUUAACAACUAAUUUGACAGGGCAGAUGAUUUUGAUGAGAAACAACUAUAUCUACUUUCUUUAGGAGGCAUUGAUAAGCUUUGCUUCUGAUAGCCUUGCAUAAAUUCUCAUCUUGGACAAUCAAUAUGUUGUUGAUAUCAUCUAACAGCAGCAUUAAUGAUAGACUUUGUCAAGUUUCACAAAGUAGAAACAAAUUUAUGCUGUUCAUCAACAUUAAGGCUUGCUACUUUGCGAAAGAUAAUCAAGAAGGUAUAAAAAUGUUUUCAACAGUGAAAAGAAUAAAAAUUUUAGAGAAGAAAUCGUCUGUCUGUCUACUCUUUCAAAUUCCUAGAUGGAUGGAGAUGCUCAUAAAUGCCUGCCUUGUAUUUUUUAAGCAACUCCUUGUAAUGUUUAACUUCUGAAGCAGAUGGGUUCGAGCAGGACACUGCUUCUAGCAUUCCAGAGCAUUGGGGUGGUGUACGGGGACAUUGGGACAUCACCACUAUAUGUCUAUGCAAGCACCUUUACAGAUGGGAUCAAAGAAACAGAAGACCUCUUGGGUGUCCUGUCUCUCAUUCUCUACACUUUGAUUCUCAUACCUCUGCUCAAGUAUGUCCUCACUGUCCUGUGGGCUAAUGAUAAUGGCGAUGGUAAGUCUAUCUCUCCAGCUAUUGUCUGGAUAGAUUUCACAGUAUACCUUAAGAUAGUGAGAAUGGUACAACAAUAAAAAGCAAAAAUAAUUUUGAGAACUGCAUGCAAAGAAUUCUUCUAGUCACUACAAAUGUUACACUCAUGUUGAAGACACUGCAACAUGACCGAAGUCAUCAGAAGAAGGCAAGAACUUCACUAAUAACUAAUAACUAGAACAGUCUAUAAAGAUUAUUAUUUUGUUGACAAGUGAUUACACAUCUUACCAGGGAUUAAGAUAUUGCCUAUACCAGUCCUACACUGCUCAGUGCACACCAUGCCGGUUAGUGACCGGUACAUUGCACUUUUCACGAUGGUUCGACAGAUGAACCAACCUUGUACUGACCCAUUCAGACCUGUGUCAACCUUGUAACUCUCUGUACUAUUUGGUAUAUCUUUUUACACUUUCUUUCUUUCUUCGCUCAUUUCAGCUACUCCAUAAUGUCCUCUGCAGAUGCCAUAGCACCCCUUUACAGCGGUGUAUAAUGUACCAGUUGGUGAGUGGUACUUGUCUAUACCUUAAUAUUUUAAAUCCUCGUUCGAUCCUAUAAACUCCAAAAUACCAUUCACCUUUGCCUUGACUCUUCUUUUGGUUUGUUAUUUCUCCUAUAAUUCUGUUUCAUAAUAGUGGCCUUGAGCAUGAACUUCUACUGUAGCAAAUCACCUGGACAAAAAAUUUUUAGGCAUAUCUUGUUUCUUCUAGGGCAAUAUUACUGGCUCACUUGUUAUUCACUUUUCCACUACCUUACCGACUGAACACAUCCACAUAAGACAUGAUUAAAAUCCAUAUUCUUGCUUAGGAAGGAGGUGAAGAAGCAUUAGAUUUACGUGUGAUGCUUCUAACUGCUCAGGAGAACAAUUGCUAGGCAUAGUUCUUCCAACUCUGGAAAAUCUUCUCUCAUGGCAGAUUCAGUUUGUAGAAACAAGUUUGUUUAUAAAAGAAACAAGCACAUAUAAUGACAAUAAAAACAGACAGAGAUGACAUUUCGACCAUUUAAACUCAUCAAUCUUAACUUGAUCAAAAUAAUCUUAUAGGAGGGACGUUUGCGCUUUACUCUCUGAUAUCUCGGUAUGCAAACGUGAGCUUGAUUCCAAAUCAACAAGCUGAAGAUGCAAUGGUCUCAAACUACAAAUUAGAGACACCAUCAACCAGAAUGAAGAGGGCUCAGUGGGUUAAAGAAAAACUGGAGGGCAGUACAGUGGCUAAGGUUGUGCUUUUCUUCAUCACAAUCCUAGGGACUUCAAUGGUUCUCGGUGAUGGAGUCUUAACUCCAUCCAUUUCAGGUGAAUAAGACAAACUAAUUGAAUUUAUUCAAGUAAUACAUGCAAAUGUUUUGGACUAAAACUUUCAAAAAUAAUGGUAACCAGAAAAUUGAACAUAGAGAUUUUUAAAGCUAUCAAAUAUAUGGUUGACUGACGUUCUUACCUACAUACUUUAGUAAAACUACUUUUUAUCCUCUCUUUUCUCUUCUUAUAACGAGACAUUCUAGGAAAUCUGAUGGCCAGUAUCAGGCCAUUAUAGAUUAAUAACUUGCCGUCAACAGAAACCAAUUGAUUUUUUUGGGUGUUUUGCAGUGCUAUCUGCUGUGAGUGGAAUCAAGGAGAAAGCAACCUCCCUGACUGAAGGUACAUACUAUGUAAAUAAAUACACCAGUACACCACACUCUCAUGUUGCUAAAUAAGUUUGAGAAGCAUACCUAGUGAACCAUAGCAAAUUGCAUCACCACGACAGGACUUGGUUUGCAAUUGUCAGAUGUAUUAGAGUUUUCAAAGAACAAGAAUCUAAGAGGUUACUGACAGAAAGCCCAUUUAUUCAUGUCAUGGAAGUACCUAAACAUGUUUAUUUUCAUUUUAUGGCUAUCGGGAGCAAUUAAAGAAUUACAUACCUUCAAAGCCAAGCAAAUUGAUCUAGUGAAAGCUCCAUCCGUGCACUCAAACAACAGAUGAGUUAUAAAUUAAAUAGCAGCUCAAUGAUUUAUGGUGACAUAUCAUCUUAUUAUGCAAAGAAAAAAAAGAUUAUUCAACUAUUAUAUGCCAAUCAUUCAAUCAAGAUGGUAUAGAAUGUGGAAUUUCAUACGGGUCAGUAAGGCUUACUGCUCGAUAUGUACCACCUGUACUGGCCUAUAUCAUUGUACCAUGUUGGUGUGCCUGCCUUGCCUCCUGGUGCCUUGUGCUUGUAUGUAGGCAUAUGCGGUAUGUGGCGCAUUAGUCAUUAGCAAGCAAGGAUCCAUAUCUUAUUAUUUAAACCUUAUCGAGAGGCAGUCAAAAUGUACCAAUAUAACAGAAUCUAAAAGAGGUCCAAAAAUAUAACAUGCGAGUCCUCUAAUUAUAGGCAUUUGUUAACAAAAUUAACUAUAGGCACAGAAUUCUAGACUUGUGGAUGUCAUAAGUAGGCUACGCUGAAAUCUCUCAAUAGGUAAAACUAAAUGCUUAAAGCACAUAAGAAGCAACUGGGAACUAUAUGACCUACAAUUGGGCCCUAGAGAUGGAUGUCAUUCCAAAUCUUGCAUUCAUUUCUUCUUCAACUAGAUCUUUUUCCAAGGAGGAAUCUUGAAGAGUUGCUUGCCAAUUGUGUGAGCUUAAAGUGCACAAGAUCUCUCUUUUUGCCAACUAGCCAUCUGGUUUUCAAAUUCAGGAAUUGGACAGCAAUUCAUGGGUCCAAUUCAUAGAAGCCUUAUGUCAGAUUGAGAGUUAGUCAAUGGAUGUUCAUGAAAUUAAAUGAACCAUAACAUGAUAGAUAAAGGAGAGCAAAUGCAGUUAAGAUGUUCUUUCGGGUUAAAGAAAGUGAUCGUGGAAUUUAGAGCAUAUGACAGGCUUAUGGCAUUUAAGACUUUGCAUCCAAAUUAGUUAUCUUUAAAAUCCUCAAGCUUUAAAAAAAAAUUAAAAAUUAAAAAUUAAAAAAAUAAAAAAAAAAAAACACAAGAGAUAGCUAAGAUUAAUCAACCCUACAGGACCCUCUAGCUUUAAGUUUCACAACUGUCCAAGCGGUCAUUUCCUUUUUUUUCCAAAAUACCCCUGCCUCUCUUCUUUCCCACAGUGUUUGCUUGGUCAAUGGAAUUAUUGGAAGGAUGAGAGCUUUUGCUUAUGAUUCAAUGCUUGUUUCUAGAACCAGGAAAAUAAAAUUAAAAUUAAAAUGGAUGAGUCCUUAAAGAGUAAUAUGAAGGAUUUCAUAUUAAGGUGCAUCAUAAUUGGAUCAGAGGAAUUUGUCCAGCAAUCUGCACUAUUUUUUUUUGAAAAGUAAGUGAAAAUCAUUUACUAAAUAAAGGACACAGUAGGACAAACCUUAAGUUCUAUUGUCUGCUUACCCAAGCUAUCAUCAUUGAUAAUAGGAACAAAUGUCAUGGCUAGGACAGAUAAUUACAGAUAAGCAACAACUAGAUAUUCUCUUGGGGUACUCUUUUUUUUUUUUUUUCCGGUAAAGGCAAGAUUCAUUUAUAAGGAACUCUUAGUACAACCCAAAACAGUCUUCCCUACUGGUAACAUAUAACAAAAAACCCAGUAGGGUGAUAGAGACACAAGAGGCAGCAAGAAAAAAUAUUGACUGAGGGAGUAAAUACAAAUACAUGUAACAAAGUAGGAGUGACCAGAUAUUAUAGUAGGAAAAGACCUGCUGAACAGCUGAAUGAAGAUUGCACCACAGCAGGAGAAGAUGAAAACCACCAGAUGUCACAGUAAGCUGCACUUUUAAGGCCAAGAAUAGCGUCAUACAGCAAACAGUCCAGAUGAGAGGCAGCGUCAGAUACAGAAGGAAGAAGUUCC